ensembl:lncRNA
CAGGGUAUGGUGGUGUACAGGGUAUGAUGGUGUACAGGGUAUGGAGGUGUACAGGGUAUGGAGGUGUACAGGGUAUGGAGGUGUACAGGGUAUGGAGGUGUACAGGGUAUGGUGGUGUAAGAGGUAUGUGGUAUACAAGGUGUGGUGGUGUACAGGGUAUGGUGGUGUACAGUGUAUGGAGGUGUACAGGGUAGGGUGGUGUACAGGGUAUGGUGGUGUACAGGGUAUGGUGGUGUACAGGGUAUGAUGGUGUACAGUGUAUGUUGAUGUACAGUGUAUGUUGAUGUACACGGUAUGAUGGUGUACAGGGAAUGGUGGUAUACAGGGCAUGGUGGUG